AUUGAACGCUGGCGGCAGGCCUAACACAUGCAAGUCGAACGAGUGGCGGACGGGUGAGUAAUGUAUGGGAAACUGCCCGAUGGAGGGGGAUAACUACUGGAAACGGUAGCUAAUACCGCAUACCAUCGGAUGUGCCCAGAUGGGAUUAGCUAGUGGGUGGGGUAACGGCGCACCUAGGCAACGAUCCCUAGCUGGUCUGAGAGGAUGACCAGCCACACUGGAAUUGAGCCAAGGUCCAGACUCAUCAGGGAGGCAGCAGUGGGGAAUAGUGCACUAUGGGCGGAAGCCUGAUGCAGCCCUGCCGCGUGUAGGAAGAAGGCAUGGGGGUUGUAAAGUACUUUCAGCGAGGAGGAGUUAUUCGCAGAAGAAGCACCGGCUAACUCCGUGCCAGCAGCCGCGGUAAUUC
rnacentral:rRNA from 1 species